GCGGGUGUAGCUCAGUGGGAGAGCAUCUCCUUGCCAUGGAGAAGGUCGAGGGUUCGAAUCCCUUCCCCCGCU
rnacentral:tRNA from 1 species